CUUAGCCUAGGAAAAAACAUCAAUUUAUGUAUACAAUUAAUUGACUUUAUUUUUUCUCUUUACUGAUGAGAAAAUGGACAUUGUACGAAGUGAUUACAAGUCGCCAAUGACAGGUGUCUGUAUGUUUGCUUCCGACAGUGACUGUAGUUUAAAAUAGGUCAAAACCGUGAAAAAAGGAUAACAUCUAUCCGCUGCCUCCAACAGGGAAAUGUAAGCAGAAAUGAGAAGUGAAUCUUCCUUUUCACAUUUAGGCUUUGUUUACAUUGAUGCAACUGUCACAGUGUAUCACUUAGAGAGAGAAAGAAAGAGAAAUGUAAAUCUAUUAGCGACCUCUUUAUUAAACAUAGGGAACCAAUUGGGAAAACCAAAUGCAACCUGCACCAGGAACAGAAACCAGACUAAACCUGACAGUUACAGAUUUUCCCACAAGGAUAGUAACAAUUAAAAUCACCUAGACUGUAUAAUAUUAAAAUUAAAACAGCUUAAUAAACAUUCUAAAUAAAUUCUUAAAGAAGGAGAUGA